rnacentral:lncRNA from 1 species
ACCCCUUUCCUUCUCCCAUCUCCCUUGCAUGCCCAAAGGGUUGGGUAUCCUCAUCUCCACUAGCCCAAAAUAGUUAGACAAAUUUUCUUGUGCCAAGAAGAAAAGAAGGUAUGAUCUCAAUUGUUAAGAUCAUGAGAAAGAGGAUCAAGUGUUGAUCCAGGAUCCAGAAAGGCUUGGUAUAAGAAUGAUCCAAGGUUGAUCCUGAUGGAUACCUAUAGAGAUCGGGCACAUUCGUGGCUCCACAAGUGAACCUUCUUCAGAUCCACGAUAUACAGAUUGUGGUGUUCAUCUACCCACACAAGGUGAUGAGAUCAUCUCUCUCUAUUUUAUAUGCUGAUAUAAAUGCUUAAUAAAUCUGAUUAAGAUCUAUGCC